GGCUGUGGACUCUCAAGACACUUGGUUCCUCAUAUGGCCUCCAGAGGGCGCUGCUGCACUUACUACUGUUCCUUCUUCCUUUGUAGAUCUCCACCUGCUCACCUCAUCCUUCCUGCAGCUGGCUGAGAAUUUAGCAAAGGAAAGUGACAAGAAUCGGGUAUUCGAAACUUGUUUCAGGUUCCUGUUUGCAGCAUCGGUUUUUAUCUGUGUAGGAGACUUCUCCGGCAGACUCUUCCUGCUUUCAAGCUCUUGUUUCCUCUGGUACUUUCCAGUUGGUCUGUUUCAGAGUUCCUCCACAACAGUGCUGCAGCCUUCCCAAGGCUCAGCCAUGCUCCUGGCGCUCAUCCUAGUGCUGGGGAUAAACUUUCUCCUAAGAGUUGCCCAAGCUCAGUCAGUGACUCAACCUGACGCUCAUGUCACUGUCUCUGAAGAAGCCUCUCUACAGUUGAAAUGCAAGUAUUCCACACCUGGGGCACCUUCCCUGUUCUGGUAUGUCCAGUACCCACAGCAGGGGCUGCAGCUGCUCCUCAAGUACUAUUCAGGAGACCCAGUGGUUCAAGGAUUGAAUGACUUUGAGGCUGAAUUCAACAAGAGUGACUCUUCCUUCCACCUGCGGAAAGCCUCUGUGCACUGGAGCGACUCGGCUGUGUACUUCUGUGCUCUGAGCUUACAGUGUCUGAGUCUGUAAGGGGAGCUGAACACAAACACCCAUGGCUGUGGGUGCUCAGACACAAGAUCUCUCCUUGUUGUCUCUGAAGCGUCUCUUUCAACUUGGCGAGGAGGAAAGGGGUGUCAGGCAGUCCCAGCUGCCAUUGCACAACUCAUUUCCAGUUAAAAUAUCCACUUUCUGACUUCAUCUAAGAAGCUCUUUGCAUAUUUUCAAAAUUAUAUAAUGCUCAAUCAUAAUUCUUUAGAAUGGAGGAGACUGUCAUUUUUCCUUGAGAACCAUUUCCUGAGUGGGCAUUGCUUGGACAGUGACUGCGCUAAGCAGCUGGUUGUGCUCAUGAGGAAAGACAGAAGCUUUCAUUUGUCAUUUUGUGUUUUGUCUACACAGGAAGUGGAAGGUGUGCUCUUCAGCUUCUAUCCUGAAGUUUGCCUUCACUCCUAUCUUUCAUGUCAAUUUUCCUGUAAAUUCUUCUUUUCGUGCUAAUUAAACCGAUCAGAAUUUGUCACGAUAUUUAAGUACUCCCAUAUAGGAAAGAACUUGAUGCAUUUUUAGUUGAUAUAGAAGUUUAUCAAAAACAGAAAAGCUUAGUGAUCUGUCAUAAUUUUGUCAGGAACCAUUAAAAACAAAACAGGAGUAUAAGGAAUUGGAGCUCAUUGGUAUUUUUUCUAAAGACUUCUUCACAGUUAUGAAUGUACUAUUAUAAAUGUACUAUUCUAUUGUUGUUGCCAUCUUAAAUUCUUCAAAUCUACUUUGAGAAUUUGUAGUAUGAGUCCUUCUGCAUCUUUUGUUGGUAUGCAUUGCUUCCUCCUUUCCAUGAUUUUACUACGGUAAUAAUAAACAUAGAUUCUCUUUUUUUUUUUUUUGGAAAGUUUUGUAUUUGUUUUUAAUUUUUUUAGUUAAAAUUACAGUAGAUUAUGAAGUAAUGGGUUUUAUCAUGGCGAGUUUAUACAUAAAAUAUUCAUGAGGGGCUGGGGAUUUAGCUCAGUGGUAGAGCGCUUACCUAGGAAGCGCAAGGCCCUGGGUUCGGUCCCCAGCUCCGGAAAAAAAGAACCAAAAAAAAAUAUUCAUGAAAUACAUGAUAUAUAAUUAUAUAUAAUAUAUAUAUAAAUGUAUAAUAAAUAUGUAUAAAAUUAUACUUGAUUUUCAUUGAUUUUCCUUCUCUACCAUGUUUCCUCUCCCUUCCAACUGCUUCAGUUUCUUAUCAUCAUUAUUCCUAGUCUGUUUCCUUUUGUUUUUAUGAGACAGGGUCUCUCUACUUAGAGCUGUUCUUCCUGGAAUUCACUUUGCAGUCUAGGCUGGCCUCAAACUCACAGAGAUCUGCCUACCUUUGCCUCCUGAGUUCUGGGAUUAAAGUUGUUAACCAUACAACCUGGCUAUCUGUUGUUUCUUUCUUCUUUCUUUCUUUUUUUGAGAUAGAGUUUUGCUGUGUAGUCCUGGCUGUCCUGGAACUUGUUCUGUAGAUCAGGUUGACCUCUAACUGCCGGCCUCUGCCUCCCAAGCGCUGGGGUCAAAGAUGUGCGCCACACUGCCUGUCUAUCUCUCCUUCCUUCCUUCCUUCCUUCCUUCCUUCCUUCCUUCCUUAUCUUUCUUUCUUCUCCUUCCUUCUUUCUUUCCUUCCAUGUAGCCCUGGUUGUCCUGGACCUCAUUCUGUAGACCAUGAUAGUUUCAAACUCACAGAGAUGUGCCUGCCUCUGCCUAGUGAGUGCUGGAUUAAAGGCAUGUGCCACCAUUGCCUGGCAUUUGUUUUCUUUUUUUUUUUAUUUUUUAUUUUUUUUUAUUUACUUGAGUAUUUCUUAUAUACAUUUCGAGUGUUAUUCCCUUUCCCGGUUUUCCGGGCAAACAUCCCCCUCCCCCCUCCCCUUCCUUAUGGGUGUUCCCCUCCCAACCCUCCCCCCAUUGCCGCCCUCCCCCCAUAGACUAGUUCACUGGGGGUUCAGUCUUAGCAGGACCCAGGGCUUCCCCUUCCACUGGUGCUCUUACUAGGAUAUUCAUUGCUACCUAUGGGGUCAGAGUCCAGGGUCAGUCCAUGUAUAGUCUUUAGGUAGUGGCUUAGUCCCUGGAAGCUCUGGUUGCUUGGCAUUGUUGUACUUUUGGGGUCUCGAGCCCCUUCAAGCUCUUCCAGUUCUUUCUCUGAUUCCUUCAAUAGGGGACCUAUUCUCAGUUCAGUGGUUUGCUGCUGGCAUUCGCCUCUAUAUUUGCUGUAUUCUGGCUGUGUCUCUCAGGAGCGAUCUACAUCCGGCUCCUGUCGGUCUGCACU